rnacentral:rRNA from 1 species
AGCGAACGUUAGCGGCGCGCCUAACACAUGCAAGUCGAACGGAUCCUUCGGGAUUAGUGGCGGACGGGUGAGUAACACGUGGGAACGUGCCCUUUGGUUCGGAACAACUCAGGGAAACUUGAGCUAAUAACGGAUGAGCCCCUCGGGGGAAAGAUUUAGCGCCAUUGGAGCGGCCCGCGUCUGAUUAGCUAGUUGGUGAGGUAAAGGCUCACCAAGGCGACGAUCAGUAGCUGGUCUGAGAGGAUGAUCAGCCACAUUGGGACUGAGACACGGCCCAAACUCCUACGGGAGGCAGCAGUGGGGAAUCUUGCGCAAUGGGCGAAAGCCUGACGCAGCCAUGCCGCGUGAAAGAUGAAGGUCUUAGGAUUGUAAAAUUCUUUCACCGGGGACGAUAAUGACGGUACCCGGAGAAGAAGCCCCGGCUAACUUCGUGCCAGCCGCCGCGGUAACAC